rnacentral:sRNA from 1 species
UGAACGAAACUGAUAAUAUUGCCAUGAA